rnacentral:rRNA from 1 species
CAGUAGCCGCGGGAAUACGAAGGGGGCUAGCGUUGCUCGGAAUGACUGGGCGUAAAGGGCGCGUAGGCGGAUUGUUUAGUUAGGCGUGAAAUUCCUGGGCUUAACCUGGGGACUGCGCUUAAUACAGGCAGUCUAGAGUGAGGAAGAGGGUUGUGGAAUUCCCAGUGUAGAGGUGAAAUUCGUAGAUAUUGGGAAGAACACCGGUGGCGAAGGCGGCAACCUGGUCCUUGACUGACGCUGAGGCGCGAAAGCGUGUGGAGCAAACAGGAUUAGAUACCCCUGUAGUCCCUGUCUCUUAUAC